rnacentral:tRNA from 1 species
UACUUUUAUCGUUUAAAGGUAAGACAUCUUUUUUUCAAGAAGAAAAUAGGAAUUCGAUUUUCCUUAAAAGUAU